GGUGGCUCAGUGGUAGAGUGCUUGCCUCAUAUGCAUGAGGUCCUGGGUUUGAUUCCUCAGCACCA
rnacentral:tRNA from 1 species